rnacentral:rRNA from 1 species
UGAGUGGCGAACGGGUGAGUAACACGUGAGUAACCUGCCCCCUUCUUUGGGAUAACGCCCGGAAACGGGUGCUAAUACUGGAUAUUCACUGAUCCUCGCAUGGGGGUUGGUGGAAAGGUUUUUUUCUGGUGGGGGAUGGGCUCGCGGCCUAUCAGCUUGUUGGUGGGGUGAUGGCCUACCAAGGCUUUGACGGGUAGCCGGCCUGAGAGGGUGAACGGCCACAAGGGGACUGAGACACGGCCCUUACUCC